AUGAUCCCUAUUUUUAGGUAUUCACAUUUUUGUGUAGUUUCCUGUCACAUGUUAAUUGGAUUGGUGUUUGACCAACAGAAUAUAACAGAAGUCAUUAUAUAUGACUUCAGAGACGGGAUCAUAAAAGAUACUGUGGAUUGGAGCUUGUUUUUUCUCUAAUAAGAGGAGCUGUAUCUGAUGCCAUGAGAACACUCAAAUAGUCUUAUGAGCUCCAAGCCAGGACCUGAGGCCUCCUGUCAACAGCUAGCAAGGAACUGAGACCUUCUGCCAAGAACCACAGGCACUUGGAUAAAUCAGUAUGCAUUGAAAAGAAGAAAGAAGAAGGAGGAGAAGGAGAAGGAAAAGGAGAAGAAGAAGGAGGCUUCCAGAAUUGCAGAGUCAAUGAAAAGAACCUUCGGCCUGACUGAGACACAUGUCACUUUCACUUACAUCUCCUUAGCAAAGCAAGUCAUAUGAUUGUGUUUAAGUUUAAUAGGUUAGGGAUGUCUAAUUCUCUGAUCAGGACAAUCACCCAAUAUUUUGAUGUUCACAUUUCUGGGUUCUCUCAUACUUCAAUAUUGAACUCUGCCAUUUCGGAAAUACGAUCAACAUUUUAUCAUUUUUUCCCCAUAUAUUUUAUUGUAGUAGGGAAAACACACCCUAUUUCCUUUUGUGUCACUUUUUGACCAAAAAUAAAUGCACCGUGCUCUGAAACUUGA